ACCCCACUCAACACCAGUAUCCCAUCCUGCGGCACGCUUUAAAAAGAUUAAAGCCUGUUAUCACUCGCCUGCUACAGCAUGGCCUUUUAAAGCCUAUAAACUCUCCUUACAAUUCCCCCAUUUUACCUGUCCUAAAACCAGACAAGCCUUACAAGUUAGUUCAGGAUCCUGGCCUUAUCAACCAAAUUGUUUUGCCUAUCCACCCCAUGGUGCCAAACCCAUAUACUCUCCUGUCCUCAAUACCUGCCUCUAUAAUCCAUUAUUCUGUUCUAGAUCUCAAACAUGCUUUCUUUACUAUUCCUUUGCACCCUUCAUCCCAGCCUCUCUUCGCUUUCACUUGGACUGACCCUGACACCCAUCAAGCUCAGCAAAUUACCUAGGCUGUACUGCCGCAAAGCUUCACAGACAGCCCCCAUUACUUCAAUCAAGCCCAAAUUUCUUCCUCAUCUGUUACCUAUCUCGGCAUAAUUCUCAUAAAAACACACGUGCUCUCCCUGCCAAUUGUGUCCGACUGAUCUCUCAAACCCCAGCACCUUCUACAAAACAACAACUCCUUUCCUCCUAGGCAUGCCUUUCUGUCCAAACAACUUGACCUUACUGUUUUAGCCUAGCCCUCAUGUCUGUGUGCAGUGGCUGCCACUGCUUUAAUACUUUUAGAGGCCCUCAAAAUCACAAACUAUGUUCAAAUCACUCUCUACAGU
rnacentral:lncRNA from 10 species